AGGGUAUCCCUGGGUAGCUUGUGUGGGUUUAGUACUUUUUGGCAGGAGGACUGCUCUUCAUUUGGAUACUUGCUGUCUCUUUCCUCAGUGUGCACAGGCUGUUCCCUCCUUGAUAGGGAGUGUGCAGGUGCACAGACUGUGCAUGGUCCCAGGGAGGUGGGGUCGAUGGGUGUCACCUGAGGGCAGCAUCUGGUUGCUGGACCCUGGACAGUGGCAGUGAUCCUCAAGGAGGUGGGGGUAGUACCUGGCACCUGGUCACAGGGCCCUCCACAGUGGCGUCAAUACUCCAGGGGGCAGCAGGCAGUGGUGGGCACUGCCCACCUCUGGAAUUUGAGAUGGCUACAGCAGCCUGUGCCCACCCCUGUAGCCCACACAAGAGGUACCCUGCCACGUGAGAGCCUACCUGUGCAGAGAAAGAAGUUCCUGUGGCAGUCCCACCACCCGUCCUCCAUGCUCCAUAGCAAUGGAGCCCAGGCCACCUCCCACACUCCCUCGGCUGUGGCCCACCACUCCCUAGCCCCCUCAGGCUUUUUCUACACAGCCAACCCUCGUCCCCUCCUAGAGACUGACCUCCAAAGCCCGAGCCUCAGCACCCAGCACCCGCUGCAAGUCGGAGUGGGGGGCCUGCUGGGCAGGGGCACCAACUGUCACGUGGCUCUGCUCAGCUUUGCCCUUCUCAAACCGGCUGCUGCACAUUGCUCUGAGGCUUUGGGACUCCCCCUCUGUCCUGACCUCCCCACCAGUUAGGAGGCCUCUCAGUGUGAGGGUUCUUUCCUCUUCCACAGCUCCCUCCCAGGAGUGCUGGUCCUGUCCAAAUUCCUUUUUUUCUCUUUUUCCUUUUGUCCUACCCAGUUACAUGGAGAUUUUCUUGUCCUUUUUGGAAGUCUGAGACCUUCUGCCAGUGUUGAGUAGAUUUCUGUUAGAAUCAUUCUACCUGUAGGGGUUUUUUAUGAUGUAUUUGUGGGGGAAAGUGAUCUCCUUGUCCUACUCCUCUGCCAUCUUGAUUUUGGGCUCCACUAUGAUACUUUUAAAUGAGGGAUUUAUUAAUUGCAGUACCUCUGCAUAACAGGAUUGUGUGGUCACAUUAAAGAUGAUAAUGUAUUGGGAGUUCCUGUUGUGGCUCAGUGUGUUAAGAACCCAACUGGUAUCCAUGAGGAUGCAGAUUUGAUCCCUGGCCUCAGUGGGUUAAGGAUCCAGUGUUGCCACAAGCUGCAGUAUAGGUCACAGAUGUGGUUUGGAUCUGUGUUGCAAUGGCUGUGGCAUAGGCCGGCAGCUGCAGCUCCAAUUUGACCCCUAGCCCGGGAAAUUCUAUAUGCUGCAGGUGCAGCCCUAAAAAGACUAUGAAUAAAUACAUACAUAGAAUAUGAUGUACUGGAGUUCCCACUGUUGUGCAGUGGAUUGGAAAUCUGACUGCAGUGGCUAGGUCGAUGUGGAGGCCCAGAUUUGAUCCCCAGCCCAACACAGUGAGUUGAAGGAUCUGGUGUUGCUGCAGCUGUGGCUCAGAUUCAGUUCCUCACCUUGGAAUUUUCAUGUGCCAUGGGUGUGGCCAUAAAAAAAUUUUUUUUAAAGAUAAUGUGCUAAAAAUAAUGAUACCACCACACACACAAACACACAAAAUUCUACAGGUUAGCAUCACUGGUGAACAUAGAUGCAAAAAUCCUCAACAAAAUAUUAGUAAACUGAAUCCACCAAUACAUUAAAAGUAUUAUACACCAUGAUCAAGUGGGGUUUAUUCUAGGGAUGCAAAGAUUCUUCAGUAUCCACAAAGCAAUUGGCAUGAUACACCACAUCAACAAACUGAAGAAUAAAACCCAUAUGAACGUUGCAAUAGAUGCAUAAAAAGCUUUUGACAAAAUUCAGCACUUGUUUUUGAUAAAAACUCUCCAGAAAGUGGGCAUAGAGGGAACCUAUGUCAACAUAGUAAAGCCCAUAUAUGACAAAUCCACAACGAAUGUCAUUUUCAACAGUGAAGAGCUGAAAGCAUUUCUGCUAAAUUGGGAACAAGGCAAGCGUGUUCACUCUCACCACUUAUUCAACAUAGUUUUGGAAGUCCUAGCCACAGCAAGCAGAGAAGAAAAAUGAAUAAAAGGAAUCCAAAUUGGAAAAGUAGUAAACUGUCAUUGUUUGUUAUGACAUGAUACUAUCAUAGAAAUUGUAAAGAUGCUACCAGGAAACUCUUAAGAGCUCAUCAGUGACUUUGGUAAAGUUGCAGGAUACAAAAUUAAUACACAGAAAUUUCUUGCAUUUUUAUAUGCUACCAACAAGAAAUAAGAAAGAAAAAUUAAGGGAACAAUCCUGUUUACCAUUCAAUCAGUGAGAAUAAAAUACCUAGGAAUAAACCAACCUAAAGAGACAAAAGAUUUGUACUCUGCAAAUUGUAGGAUGCAGAUGAAAAAAAAGUCAAAGAUGAUACAAACAGAUGGAAAGGUAUAGCAUGUUCUUGGGUUGGAAGAAUCAAUAUUGUCAAAAUGACUGUACUACCCAAGGCAAUCUACAAAUUUAGUGCAAUAUCUAUCAAGCUACCAAUGACAUUCUUCAUGGAAUUAGAACUAAAUACUUUAAAAUUUGUAUAGAAACACAAAACACUGUGAAUAGCCAAAGCAAUCUUGCAAAAGAAAAAUGGAACUGAAGGAAUCAGGCUCGCUGACAUCAGACUAUACUACAAAGCUACAAAGAUCAAAACAAUAUGGUACUGGCACAAACAGAAAUACAGAUCAGUGGAACAGGAUAGAAAGCCCAGAAAUAAACCCAAGCAUCUAUGGUCAACUAAUCUAUGACAAAGGAGGCAAGAACAUACAAUGGAGGAAAGACAGACUCUUAAUAAGAAGUGCUAGGAAAACUGAACAGUUACAUAUAAAAGAAUAAAAUUAGAACAUUCUCUAACUAUACAAAAAUAAACUCAAAAUGGAUUAAAGAUCUAAACAUAAGGCUAGAUACUAUAAAACCCCUAGGGGAAAACAUAGGCAGAACACUCUUUGACAUAAAUUAUAGCAAUAUUUUUUUGACCCACCUCCUUGAGUAGUGAAAAUAAAAAACCAGUGGGACCUUUUGCACAACAAAGUUAACCCUGUGUAUACAUAUAUACACAUAUAUGUGUGUGUGUGUGUGUAUAUAUAUAUAUAUGACAAUUCACAGAGUGGGAGGAAAUCUUGGCAAAUGAAGCAACUGACUAGGGAUUAAUUGCCAGAGUACACAGAUAUCUCAUGUAGCUUUAUAUUAUUUUAAAAAAUGGGAGUUCCGGAGUUCCUGUCGUGGCACAGUGGUUAACGAAUCCAACUAGGAACUAUGAGGUUGUGGGUUCGGUCCCUGCCCUUGCUCAGUGGGUUAAGGAUCCGGCAUUGCCGUGAGCUGUGGUGUAGGUUGCAGACGCGGCUCGGAUCCCACGUUGCUGUGGCUCUGGCGUAGGCCGGUGGCCCCAGCUCCGAUUCGACCCCUAGCCUGGGAACCUCCAUAUGCCGCGGGAGCUGCCCAAGAAAU
rnacentral:lncRNA from 1 species